rnacentral:rRNA from 1 species
AGGGCAAGUCUGGUGCCAGCAGCCGCGGUAAUUCCAGCUCCAAUAGCGUAUAUUAAAGUUGUUGCAGUUAAAAAGCUCGUAGUUGAAUUUCGGGGUCAGCAGGUUGGUCGUGCCAAUGGUAUGCACUGGCCUUGCUGAUUCCUCCCUCUUGAUGAGCCGUAAUGCCAUUAAUUUGGUGUUGUGGGGGAUCAGGACUGUUACUUUGAAAAAAUUAGAGUGUUCAAAGCAGGCAAGCGCUUGAAUACAUUAGCAUGGAAUAAUGAAAUAGGACGUUCGAUCCUAUUUUGUUGGUUUCUAGGAUUGACGUAAUGAUUAAUAGGGAUAGUUGGGGGCAUUAGUAUUCAAUUGUCAGAGGUGAAAUUCUUGGAUUUAUUGAAGACUAACUACUGCGAAAGCAUUUGCCAAGGAUGUUUUCAUUAAUCAAGAACGAAAGUUAGGGGAUCGAAGACGAUCAGAUACCGUCGUAGUCUUAACCAUAAACUAUGCCGACUAGGGAUCGGAUGAUGUUAAUUUUUUAAUGACUCAUUCGGCGCCUUACGGGAA